rnacentral:tRNA from 1 species
GGGCCCGUAGCUCAGUCUGGAGCUUUGAAGCUUCGGCUUCAAGAGCCGGAGGUCUGGGGUUCAAAUCCCUGCGGGCCCA